AGACACCUGGGGUCCUUAUGCCGGUAUGUUAUCACUCUGCUGCUGGCACUGGUGUGAGGAAGCAGUGAUGUGGGUGCUGUCUCGAACUACAAAGUGUGUAUGGGGAAGCAGACGCUGAUUGAACCGCGGUGUACCAGUGUUUUGCGUGAUCAUUUCCAUGGACAAGCACCCGCUGGGUAUUGUGGCUGUCGUUGGGUACCUGCUAUAAACGUAGCGUUCCUUGCAUCCGGUAACGUGAGCGGCAGACUGUUUAACUGCAACCAGCAUUUGGAGUGUUGCUGUUGCUGUUCUCUACACGUAUGAUUGUGGUGGUGAUUAUUGUUUAACUAGAUUUUGGUUUGUUUUUCCUCUAGCCUGUUGAUCGUAACGAGUAUUGUAGUGAGAGUGCAGUUAUUGUACAUCACAGGCUAGAGUGGUUUCAUCAUUCCUUUGUUUUGUCCCCCCUCCCUCUCGUGUAGCCAGCCUCGGUGGUGGUGGAGCCAGGGUAGCAUUCAGGGCCCUUCUGAGAAGGCAAUCUCCCUAGUUCCCCCUCUUGCACUUAAUGUAUAGCUUAGACGUGUGACAGGAAGUUGCUGUGAAGCAUGAAGUCUUAAGUCCUUAAAUUAAGUUUAUCAGAGUGACAUUUAGUUGCAGUGUGUCUAUAGACAGUGAUCACGUGUGAUUGGGACCCUAACCCUUCUAGUUGUGGUUCUCAUUGUCUUCUCUGGCUCCUGUGCCGUUAGCUUGGCGAUUCCCCACUGUAUUCCCUUGUUAUUUAUUUUA